GUGGGCAGGUAGCUGGUCAUCUACCCCUGGGCUGAGGCAGGAGGCAGCCAGCUUCAGCUUACGAUCAUUCUCCUCUGGGUCUCUGCUCACAGACCUUCCAUCAAGAAAUUCACUACAGUGUGUUGGAACAGUCUAUGUACCUGACUACCACACAAGGGCUGUUGUAAGGAUCAAAUGGCAUCAUGAAUGGAGGGUACCAAGUCCUGCACCCAGCCUGCAGUGACUAGCACCUGCUCCCUGCUGAACAUGGUGGCUGGGGCUGGACAUGGUCCUUGGGGGUGUGAUCUGAGCAGCCUGCAGCAUUCUGGGCCUUUCAACUGCCGCAUCCUGGUACCAGUCUCAUGCUUCCUGGUACCCUACAGAUGGCUGUCUCCUGGUGGAGUCACCAGGUUGGAGGGGUCCUCAGAAUGCCAACAGAACAGAGCAGCCCUGAGCUCCGGCACCUGUCACUGUGGCUUGACUGGAUACAUAUCUCCAGACCAAGGUCUCUUCUCAGAUUUAUUUUUCUCUUUUUUCCCUCCCACUGGGGACAAAUAGCUUCCAUUCCUGAAGGGAAGUUGCCUGCUUGGAGAUGGACAGAGGAAGAUAUUUGGGUUCAGCUUAUCCCCUCUGGGCACUUUGGGGGAAGCAGCAUGGGUUGGGGCAGGAGAACUCUAAUGUGUAUGUGUUAAUAAACUUACUGUUUUCUAAAAUUUUGUCAAAGGUAUGCAUGUUUAUAGUUUAAAGAGGUGAAGAGUUCCAUGUGGCCUACUGUAUUUUUCCUUCCUUGUAUAACUUUUAUUUUCCUAGGAGCUAAUAACUAUCUUGUUCUUUUGUUUGCUUGCCUUUCUCUGUACUUAUCACUAAUUCAACUCCAGAGUCUUUACUGAUUGCCUAUUCCAAUAUUUUCACCCACAUCAGGUGCUCUAUCAAUUUCAUUGUCCUGAAGAGUUUCCCUGACAGCCUUCUGACCUGG
rnacentral:lncRNA from 1 species